GCGUGAGUGAUGAAGGCCUUAGGGUUGUAAAGCUCUUUUACCCGGGAAGAUAAUGACGGUACCGGGAGAAUAAGCCCCGGCUAACUCCGUGCCAGCAGCCGCGGUAAUACGGAGGGGGCUAGCGUUGUUCGGAAUUACUGGGCGUAAAGCGCGCGUAGGCGGCCAUUUAAGUCAGAGGUGAAAGCCCGGUGCUCAACAUCGGAAUUGCCUUUGAGACUGGGUGGCUAGAAUCCAGGAGAGGUGAGUGGAAUUCCGAGUGUAGAGGUGAAAUUCGU
rnacentral:rRNA from 1 species